rnacentral:rRNA from 1 species
AGAAUCUGGCUCCAGGUCGGGGAUAACAGUUGGAAACGACUGCUAAUACCGGAUGUGCCGAGAGGUGAAAGAUUUAUUGCCUGGAGAUGAGCUCGCGUCUGAUUAGCUAGUUGGUGGUGUAAGGGACCACCAAGGCAUCGAUCAGUAGCUGGUCUGAGAGGAUGAUCAGCCACACUGGGACUGAGACACGGCCCAGACUCCUACGGGAGGCAGCAGUGGGGAAUUUUCCGCAAUGGGCGAAAGCCUGACGGAGCAAUACCGCGUGAGGGAGGAAGGCUCUUGGGUCGUAAACCUCUUUUCUCAAGGAAGAAGAAAGUGACGGUACUUGAGGAAUAAGCAUCGGCUAACUCCGUGCCAGCAGCCGCGGUAAUACGGAGGAUGCAAGCGUUAUCCGGAAUGAUUGGGCGUAAAGGGUCUGCAGGUGGAACUGAAAGUCUGCUGUUAAAGAGUUUGGCUUAACCAAAUAAAAGCGGUGGAAACUACAGAACUAGAGUGCGGUAGGGGCAAAAGGAAUUCCUGGUGUAGCGGUGAAAUGCGUAGAUAUCAGGAAGAACACCGGUGGCGAAAGCGUUUUGCUAGACCGUAACUGACACUGAGGGACGAAAGCUAGGGGAGCG